rnacentral:rRNA from 1 species
UACAGAGACUGCGAGCGUUAUUCGGAUUCACUGGGCGUAAAGGGUGCGCAGGCGGCCGUGUGUGUGAGGCGUGAAAGCCCGGGGCUUAACCCCGGAAUUGCACCUCAAACUACACGGCUAGAGCAUUGGAGAGGGUAGCAGAAUUCAUGGUGUAGCAGUGAAAUGCGUAGAUAUCAUGAGGAAUACCAGAGGCGAAGGUGGCUACCUGGACAAUUGCUGACGCUCAGGCACGAAAGCGUGGGGAGCAAAAGGG